rnacentral:rRNA from 1 species
UACGAAGGGUGCAAGCGUUACUCGGAAUUACUGGGCGUAAAGCGUGCGUAGGUGGUUUGUUAAGUCUGUUGUGAAAGCCCCGGGCUCAACCUGGGAAUGGCAAUGGAUACUGGCAAGCUAGAGUACGGUAGAGGGUGGUGGAAUUUCCUGUGUAGCGGUGAAAUGCGUAGAUAUAGGAAGGAACACCAGUGGCGAAGGCGACCACCUGGACUGAUACUGACACUGAGGUGCGAAAGCGUGGGGAGCAAACAGG